AUGAAAAUGAUCAGUUGGAACUGUAGAGGGCUGGGUCGGCCUCGUACAGUUCAAGAAUUAGUUUGUAUUAAUAAAUCUUACCUACCCAACAUCAUUUUUCUUUCUGAGACUAGGCAAAAUAAAGAUUAUGUUGAAAGUUUGCGGUACCGUUUGGGUAUGAAAAAUGUAUUUUCUGUUUCGGGUAAAGGCAAAGGUGGUGGUUUAAAGAUUUUCUGGGAUGAUAGC
rnacentral:rRNA from 1 species